rnacentral:lncRNA from 1 species
ACAAGACCAGUUGGUCCAAGCCAAAACCAAUUAUCCAGCCGGCCGAAAGGGCCUAAUUUUGGCCCAAUAAAUUUUUUUCCCUCUUAAAAACAGCCGGCCCAAAGAACCAAAACCAAUUAUCCAACGAGCCCACAAUCCAUUUACCUUUCAAAUUAUUUACCCAACCCAAUUUACAUAUCUAAUAUCCACUAUCCAACCCAAUUAACCAAAAAUUCCCAAAAUUCAAUUCGAUCAAAAACUCCCAAAAUUCCCCAAAAUAUGCUCGACGCCUCUGCAGCUCUGCUCGUCAGUCCCUACUCCAGUUCGGUAGUCGUCGCCACUCGCCUGUCGUCUCCUCGCUAGUCGACUCCGCCCGGCGCCCUUCAGCUUCUGCCGACUGCAGCUCUUCUUCAACUCUUCUGCUCUUGACUGCUGGAGGAUGGUUGGUUCGAUUUGGAGAGCGAAGUCGUUUGGUGCUUCACUGCUUCUGGAACGGUGGAACCCAAGUUGGUGAAGUGGUUUUCAACACAUCAUUAACCGGGUAAAAAUUAAGAAUUUACUAUGAAUUUCUUUUCACUGGUCCGGCCCUGUUAUGUACAUCCUUAACUCCUACAGGUUUUGGCGUAGAUCAGUAAACUCAAUCACCCAAAUACGUCUUGAACUUUAGUCUUUAAGUUUACUGGUUGAAACUGAAUAUAUGAAUCGACCGGCAAAUGACAGAACUGAGCCUGAGUUUUUUUUUUUAGCCUAUAUGCGUUUUACAUAGUACCCAUAUUAUGUACAUCCUAAACAGAAAGAAAUGCAGGAUAAAACAUAAUCAUUUGACAGUUUGAGAGUUUUAUAGUUCUAAGCCGAAGUACGAUGGUCUUGGAAAUAGAAGAAUAAAAGUACUAAAUCGUACCAUAGUUUUGAGGAUUGUUGACGAACUCCAUUAUGGCUCGAUAAACAUCACAAAAGAUUAUAUGGGCACCUGAUAACUCUGCAUUAAGGGCAACAAUCUUCUCCUCCAGCCAAGUGUUAUAUUCAGAUACUAGCAUAUUGACCUCAAGGCUUCAAUAAGAAUUUAGAACUGUGUAUUAUUUUCAAUUAUGGUAGUCAAUCUAUUUUCUGAUGAUGAAAAUUUUUUGUUUUCAAGUGAAAUCUUGAGAUCUUUUUUUUUAAGGAAGACAGUUGAUGUUGCUGCACAAUUAUUGAAACGAGCCAAGACAGUUAAUCAUUUAAUCAAAUGUUCAUCCAACACAUAUAUCUUCAGAUUCUUCACAAAUGCACAGUUAAAUUGCUCAUAUAAUGUAAAGCUAAAAUAACACUUUUGUGAAAUGUGAAUACACUAUCAAUCCAGUCUUCAAAAUGCACAUAGUUUAAAGUUGUAAAAUGCAUCCUGGAUGAAUUCAUAGAAGACUUAGAAGACUAAAAUGCAAUGUUUACCACAUUGGAAAUCUUAUUUAAGAAGCCAAUGCCUGUUUUUGGUGUAGUGUCGUCUCAUUUUUAAUUUCGGCAGUGUUUUUGGUAGGGCUUUAAUGUUCAGCGAAUUACCAGGAUUAACUUCAGAAAUUCUUCAGUUACAAAGAGUUCAAUGUUGUUAAUUAUGGUAUAUAGUAUUUUCCAAAAUGUUUUCCUUUUCACAGAGUAAUGAAUGGAUUUCAAAUAUCACAUAGUAAAACCAGAAAUUAUAUAUUUUAACGAUGCAGAAACUAAAAUUUCCCACCAAUGUCCACCGUUUGUCGUUCAAAGCACAUGGUAAGAUAUAAUUUUUUGAAAUAUCACGUUAUCCAAAGGUUGAGUAUUUUAGUUGCUUUUGAAAAACUUCCUGCUUAGUUUUUAACUCUCAUGGUACAUACACUUUUGUUUUUUAUAUUCAGUCCUUAUUUGAGCCCCAUUCUUUUCAUAAGAUUGAAUUUUCGAAUAGUGUAUUGAUUGAAAAUAUGUAGUUAAAAAAUAGGAAAAAGUUUUAAAUUUGUGUGUAAUAUUAUUUUAUUAAAAAAUAUAUGGUUGAAAUGAGAUCAAAAUAUUGUUUAAGAAUUUAUUUUUUUUAAAAAAAAAAAAAUGGGGCUCAAUUAUGGGCUCAAUAAAAAAUUACUCAUUCUUCAACAGAAUUUGUUUCUAACUGUGCCUUCAAGAAAAAAUACAAUUUACAAUUCUAUAAUAUUCUCAAAUAACUUUAUGUAGAUUUUGGGAGGGGGGGGGGGGGGUUUUUUUUUUUUUNNNNNNNNNNNNNNNNNNNNNNNNNNNNNNNNNNNNUAAUAUUUCAGCGAAAUAUUAAUUGUCCCUAAAGGCCAUGACAUUAAAAUUUCAAUAUUGUAGAAGAAUAUUGACCAAUUGCUUUUGAGUAAGCAAUAGUAAAAUCACUUUUCAAAUAAAAAGAUGAUGAUAAUAAUAAUGCUUUAUAGUGCUUUCGAAGUGAUACGUGUCUCAAAAAAUAUUACUUGUUCCUGAAAAUAUGAUAUCUAAUAUGAAUAUUUCAAAAGAAUAUUGACUUAUUACCAUUGAAGAAGUAUAUAAUAUUAUAUAAUAGUAUUAUUGAAGAAUACUAUAUUGUGGCCCCGAAGAAAUAAAAAGUUAUGUGUUAUUUUGAAUAAGCUGACAUUUAUAUUAUUUUAAUAUUUGAAAAAAAUAUUGCUUGCUCAUGGAUGGCAUACUUUGGAAGUAUCAUAGUUAACAAGAAUAUUAUGCUAUUACUCCUAAAGAUCAUAAUUUUAUAAGUUAUAAUCCUCGAGCAAUAUUGAUUAUUAUGUUUUUUUUUCUAAAGUAGCACAAAUUAAAAAAAUCAUAUGAUUUAUAAUAAUUUUUAACUAUGAUUAUGGUCUCGAAAUACUUAACUAAAUAUUAUAUAAAUAAAUAUUGUAUUAAUAAAAAUAUCAAGUUUAAUCAAGUUAAGAGAGUGUAUUUCUAGAUAAUAGUAAAAUCCAAUGUGUAGAAUCCCAAAUUUUUCUUAGUUAAUUCACAUAUAUUUUAUUUGCCAUUUAAUAGGAAUUGAAUAUGUUAAUUAUUAAUAAUUAUGAAAUUUAAUUAAGAGAUAAUUAAUUAAAAAAAAGUAAUCAUAGCUUACAGAUUUUGGUCAAAGCAAAUCAUGUGGAAUUUGAAUUUUUUAAUUGACUUUAAUAUUGGAACAAAAUAUGAUUAUGCAUGCAAUUCAUCCAUCUUUUUCACGUGUGCAUGAAUUAUGCAAUCAUGAUAUCUCCUAAUUGGAACAAUUCUUGGGAUGAUUGAAAGGAAUUUAAAGCCCCACCAGCGUGAUUAAUUCCUACGUGGUUACUAUACCAUAUUUUAGUAUACUAUAUAUAUGACAUAAAACCUUAAGCAUUUUAUAAUUAAUUCCUCAUUCUGCAGUACAAUUCUAUACGUCUAUUUUCUCUCCUUCUUUAAAAUAUUUCUUCAUAUGAUUAAGGCUUUUUAAAGUUUUGGAAUUGCAAUAAAGAAUCACAUUUCUGCAAUUUGUUCUCCGCAUUCAUCUUCAAAAGGUGAGAUGCUUAGUGCUAUUAGUGAUUUUUCCACAUCUUUUCAAAUACAUCAUUAUGUAUGAAUUCAAUUACUUCAGUUCAGGGCUCUUUCGGAAAAAAAUCACGAUACAUUUUAAGGCACAAUUUAGCCUUCGCGCUUAUUUUGCAGUGCUUGCUAGAAUUAUCAUUUGUCAUGGUGUGAUAAUUCUCAUUUUAUGUUAGUAAGAGAAUUUAUACGUAAUUUCAUAUUUGAUUUGAAUGUGGAGUAACAAACAUCUCAUUGAGUAUAAUUCGUUAUACUUAUCCCUCUUUAAUUACAAUUUUGAGGUAAAAAUUGGUAUGCUGGACGACAGUGGAUGGAUUUGCUAUUGGACCAACGGAUCUUCGUCAUGAAGUACUUUAAUUUUUUAGAAACACUAGAAUUUUUAAUAAUAUUUGAUUAUCUUUUUGACUUAAUUGUGAGUUACUUUCAACUAGUUCUAAUUUUAUUGUUUGUUAGAACUAGUUUUUAAUAAUGUUUGCUGAAAAUUAUGAUUUCAAAAGGUUUCGCAUAUUUUAUUAAAUUUAAUUUACUUUUGUUAAAGAUUAUUCAAUUUUUACUAAAUUUCUCGUUGUAAUAAAAUUAUUUAUUUCUUUGAUAAAUUCAUGUUUCGUAACGUGUCGAGUUGCUAGAAUUCAGAGCGUUACAGAAUUGUAUCAUAGCCUAAAGUUUUAAAAUUGAUUCUCUAGACUAAAAAAUAGAAAAAAUCGUGCAUGUCACUGUUCACGACUGUUCACCCGUGAACAACAAAUUUGAAGGAGUACAUUAUUUCAUUGAAUUGUUGAAUUAAAGAGCAAUCAUUAUAUUUCAAGUGAUUAAUAUUAAAAUAAUGAUUUUAUACCAUCCAAGGCAAUCUUUCCUUUACUGCGUGUGUGCAUAGAUAUGACUCGAGUGAUUAAGCCUAUAAGGGUUUAAAACUUGGUGCCCUAAAGUCAUCUGAUUGGGGAGUCAUCGACCUAAAGCUCGCUACAGGGGUCAUUUAGAAAGCUUAAGGGAGAGACGUCCGCACAAGGAGUGAUUAAAGAAUAAAGAUAUAUAUGAAAAAAAAAUAAUAAUAAAAAAAGAAAAGAGAAGUUGAUUAAGCCCCGAACACUUGUUUUAGAGGAUUAGACCUUUGAUAAGGGGUAAGUAACUUGGUUGAUUCCUAGAGGUUGAAGCAGUCAAAAAUAAGGAGAAUCCUCAUUUGUUGACAUGUGGAACUACAAUCAGUAAAAUCUAACCAAACUUGAGUGGUGUAAGAAAUUAGUAUUGAAGAUUUAACCUGAGGUUACACCCUUGGAAAGAGAAAAGAAAAUAAGUUUGGGGUGUGUGAAUCCCACGAGCGAAGUAAGAAAAAAUUGGACUUCUAUGGUCAGGAAUUGGGUCAACUUAUUAUUGUACAACGUUGCACUUGACUCUCCACACACACACACACCCGUUGUGCAUUGAAUAGGCGAGAAUUUAACUUUUGCAAGAUAGCUUUGAAGUGGUUCAUGGAAUCGAAGUUAUGUUUUUAAUUCUCAGGCAUGAAGGCAAGCUAUCUAGCGAAAUUUUUUUUAAGUGAUUUUGUUUGUCUUGGUUGUGCUUGUGUGUCCGUUAAUUAUUUUUAUGGGUUUUGGUGUUUGCUCGAGGACAAGCAAAAGACUAAGUUUGGGGGUGUUUGAUGAGUGAUUUAUACUCAUUAUAUUAUGCCAUUAAUUUCAUGAUUUUGCUAUCUUGGAGAGUAUUUUAGAAGUGCCAACAAGUGAUUUUGGUGUUGUUUUGUAGAUUGAUGGAAAUGGAGAAAACUAGAGCUAAAAGAGGUCAAAUGAAGGAAAUAGGCAAAAGCUAGCGAAAUUGGAUGAAAUGACCAAAACGUAAGAGAUCCAAAGUUCGAGGAUUAAAAUGCAAUUAAUCAAAAGUCAUGUCGAAACUUGAAAUGAAGAUCCGAGAGUCCUAGAAGCCAAUUGGACAAAGGAAGGUGUCAAAGGGAUCAAAUUUAGUCAAGAUAUGACCAUAAAUCAUUUUCCAACCAAAAAGUUUUGCGCCAGAGUUUUCAUCUCACAUUUAGACUCAUUUUUGACAUAGAAAACGAUUGAAUUGGAGAAUGAUUCCUGAAGUAAAAUUGUAUUCCUUUAAAUUAGCUUUCCAACGCAUCUUGAAUCACUUCAAUCGGAUAUCGAACGAAAAAGUUAUGAUAAAAAUACUGAAAGCUGUCAAGUGCAACCGAAGUAGUCCUCAGCGCCCAGGUGCUAUCCCUCAGCGCCUAGGCGCCAUGACGCUGAAAUUUUGACAGAAAGUCAGCGCCUAGGUGCCCAAAUCGCAGCGCCUAGGCGCCGCUGUGCGAGAGUAAUUUUUUUAGGUUUUUACCAUUCUUUUUCGGCCCAACUCAUCUCCAAAUCUUUCCCUAAACUCCAAGACAAUAAAAACACAAGAUUGAAGACCUAAAUGGGAGAGGAACCGCACACUAAAAAUCUAGGGGAUCAAGCCAUGCGUUCUUGACAUAUUGGAGAGAAAAACAACAGGAAGGGAGAUUCAAGGGAGAAAUUUAAGAAGAUUAACACCAAGAAUUGAAGAUUGGAAGCACUCAUUGGAAGAGGAAGGAGAUCUUGGUGCAAGAAUUCCACUUUUUCUUCUACACCUUUAUUUCAAACUCGGUGAUGUAUUCUAAGACAAUCUCCUAUUUUUCUUCCAUUAUUAUGAGUAGUUAAAUUUCAUGUUAGGGCGAACAAUGUAAUCUUUUGGAACCCUUUAUUUCAUGCAAUUGAGAUUCUAAUACUUUUUUAUUUCAUGUGUUGAUUUUAAUAUUGUUCUUAAUACAUUUAAUUGCUUGAUCACUAAUUAGAUGAUUUGUGAACAAUGAUUGCGUAGAGAUGCGGAUUAUUUGUUUAGACCACAUGUUAAAAUCCGGUAAAUUGAUAUAAUGUGUAGAGAUACCUAUAUUGAUUGCUGCGGUCGGGUGUGAAUUCUUAGAACCAAUGUUUCGUUUAAUUAAAUUUAAUUUGCAUAGAGAUAUGGAAUUAAACUAAUUAAGUAGGCUCAAUGAGAACUCGAGAGGGGUAAGUUGAAUACAAUAGAAGAAUUCGACCGAACACUACCUUAGGUUUUAUGAAUCUUGAUUUAUGAAGUAAAUGUGACCAAUAUGUGAAAUUGUUAUGCCCUAACGUCCAUUUAUUGUUUGAAUUCUCAAUCACUUUUCAUUGAAUCCAAUCACAUUUUUAAGUCUUUAGAAUAAAAAUCACAUUUAAUCAUUGUUUUUUGAUUUACAUUCGUCAAAUAGUAGUUAAAGAAAGAUUAAAUUAAGUGCUACAAAACAGUCCUCGUGGGAUCGAUAACCGGACUCUUAGGUCCACUAUUACUUGUUACGGAUCGUACACUUGUGAAACAAAAUUAUACAACAUUCACACACUAAGAAUAUGGCGUCACUAUCUCUAUGACGGUAAAUGUGAGAUAUACACCGAUCACAAAAGUCUCAAAUACCUCUUUACUCAAAAAGAGUUAAAUAUGAGACAAAGGAGAUGACUAGAGUUGGUUAAAGACUAUGACUGCAAAACUAAUGUAGUUGCUAAUGCUUUGAGUAGAAAGACAGCAGGAAAGUUGACAAUUCCAAAAUAGUUAGUUAAAGAAUUUGAAAAUUUGAGGCUAGAUGUGGGUGUACCUUCUGUACAGAAAAUAGCUAUUGUUGCAGCUUUAAUAAUUCAACCCAUUCUUAGAGAAUGGAUUAGCGAAGCCCCAGAAGAAUGACCCGUUUUUGUGUAAAACCAUGGCUGAAGUUGGGACAGAUAAGCAAAAAGGAUUUGCGAUAGUUGAUGAUAAGGUACUUAUGUAUAAAGGCAGAAUAUGUGUUCUUAAAGAUGAGGGAUUAAGGAAAGAAAUUCUUGAAGAAGCACACUACCGCUUAUACACUACAUCCAGGCAGUACAAAAAUGUAUCGAGACUUUCGAAAUAAAUUUUGGUGGAGAAGUAUGAAAAGAGAAAUAAGACUUUUGUAAGUAAAUGUAUGGUCUGUCAGCAAGUAAAAACUAAACAUUAGAGACCUUCAAGGUUGCUUAGACUACUAGAUAUACCGGAGUGGAAAUGGGAACACAUUAUCAUGGAUUUCGUGGUAGGAUUUUCGAGAUCGGCUAAAGGGAACAAUGCUAUCUAGAUAAUGGUGGAUCGUCUUACAAAGUCAGCCCAUUUUCUUCCAGUUAAGAUGACAUUUACAAUGGAACAAUAUGCACAUGUUUAUGUUAAAGAAAUAGUCAGGUUACAUGGGGUUCCCGUUUCUAUUAUUUUAAAUAAAGACCCGAGAUUCACGACAAAAUUUUGGUGAAGUCUACAAAAUGCUAGGGGAACAAAACUGAAAUUUAGUACUGCAUAUCACCCACAGACUGAUGGACAAUCCAAAAGGACGAUUCAGAUACUCGAAGAUAUUUUAAGAGCCUGUGUGCUAGAUCUCGGUGAUAGUUGGGAAUCACACUUGCCUUUAGUAGAAUUUGCCUAUAAUAAUAAUUUUCAAGCAACUAUAGGUAUGGCACCUUACGAAACACUAUAUGGUAGGAAGUGCAGUCACCUAUCUACUGGGAUGAGGUUGGAGAAAGAAAGAUUCUUGGACCUAAGAUCAUAGAUCGAAUCGUACAGGCUGUGGAAAAGAUUCGAGACAAAAUUAAGGUUGCUCAAGACAGGCAGAAAAGCUAUGCUGAUAGAAGAAGAAAAGAUCUUGAGUUUCAAAUUGGUGACAAAGUAUUUCUGAAAGUAGCUCCAAUAAAGGAAGUACUUAGAUUUGGAAAGAAAGGAAAAUUGAGACCAUGUUUCAUUGGAUCAUUUGAUGAUGUGGCAUAUAGACUGGUAGUGCCACCAGAACUUUCGGCAAUACAUAAUGUUUUUCAUGUAUCAAUGUUGUGAAAAUACUUACAAGAUCCUAGUCAUGUGAUCAAUCAUCAAAAUUUAGAUGUACAACAUGAUUUAACCUAUGGAAAAAUGCCAUUGAGGAUAUUAGAAAGAAAGAUUCAUGUAAUAAGAAAUAAGGAAAUUCCCUUAAUCAAGGUCUUAUGGCGUAACCAUGGAGUGGGAGAAGCAACUUGGGAAAAGGAAGAUGAGAUGAGAAUCAAGUAUCCCGAACUUUUCAACUAACCCAAAGUAAAUUUCGAGCACGAAAUUAUUUUAAGGAGGGUAGGUUGUAGAAUCCCGAAUUUUUCUUAGUUAAUUCGCAUAUAUUUUAUUUUCCAUUUAAUAGGAAUUGAAUAUGUUAAUUAUUAAUAAUUAUAAAAUCUAAUUAAGAGAUAAUUGAUUAAAAUAACGUAAACAUAGCUUACAGAUUUUGGUCAAAGCAAAUCAUGUGGAAUUUGAAUUCUUUAAUUGACUUUAAUAUUGGAAUAAAAUAUGAUUAUGCAUGCAAUUCAUCCAUUUUUUUUCACGUGUGCAUGAAUUAUGCAAUCAUGAUGUCUCCUAAUUGGACCAAUUUUAAGCAUUCUACAAUUAAUUCCUCAUUCUGCAGUACACUUUUGUACGUCCAUUCUCUCUUCCUCUUUAAAAUAUUUCUCCAUAUUAUUAAGGCUUUCUAAGGUUUCGGAAUUGCAAUAAAGAAUCACAUUUUCUGCAAUUUGUUCUCCACAUUCAUCUUCAAAAGGUGAGAUGUUCAGUGCUAUUAGUGAUUUUUCCACAUCUUUCCAAAUACAUCAUUAUGUAUGAAUUCAGUUACUUCAGUUCAGGGCUCCUUCGGGAGAAAUCAUGAUACAUUUUAAGGCACAAUUUAACCUUCGCGUUAUUUUGCAGCGCUGACUAGAAUUAUUAUUUGUCAUGGUGUGAUAAUUCUCAUUUUAUGUUAGUAAGAGAAUUUAUAUGUAAUUUUAUGUUUGAUUUGAAUGUGGAGUAGCAAACAUCCCAUUAAGUAUAAUUCGUUAUACUUAUCCUUCUUUAAUUACAAUUUUCAGGUAAAAAUUAGUAUGUUGGACGGUGGUGGAUGGAUUCACUAUUGGACCAACGGAUCCUCGU